UACGUAGGGUGCAAGCGUUAUCCGGAAUUAUUGGGCGUAAAGAGCUCGUAGGCGGUUUGUCGCGUCUGCUGUGAAAACUGGAGGCUCAACCUCCAGCCUGCAGUGGGUACGGGCAGACUAGAGUGCGGUAGGGGAGAUUGGAAUUCCUGGUGUAGCGGUGGAAUGCGCAGAUAUCAGGAGGAACACCGAUGGCGAAGGCAGAGUCUCUGG
rnacentral:rRNA from 1 species